rnacentral:rRNA from 1 species
UACGUAGGCAGCAAGCGUUUGUUCGGAAUUACUGGGCGUAAAGCGAGUGUAGGCGGUUCGAUAAGUUUGGUGUGAAAUCUCCCGGCUCAACUGGGAGGGUGCGCCGAAGACUGUCGAGCUAGAGUGUGGGAGAGGUAGGCGGAAUUCCUGGUGUAGCGGUGAAAUGCGUAGAUAUCAGGAGGAACACCUGCGGUGUGAGACGGCUUACGUGGACCACGA